GACGAACGCUGGCGGCGUGCUUAACACAUGCAAGUCGAACGGAAAGGCCCUGCUUUUGUGGGGUGCUCGAGUGGCGAACGGGUGAGUAACACGUGAGUAACCUGCCCUUGACUUUGGGAUAACUUCAGGAAACUGGGGCUAAUACCGGAUAGGAGCUCCUGCUGCAUGGUGGGGGUUGGAAAGUUUCGGCGGUUGGGGAUGGACUCGCGGCUUAUCAGCUUGUUGGUGGGGUAGUGGCUUACCAAGGCUUUGACGGGUAGCCGGCCUGAGAGGGUGACCGGCCACAUUGGGACUGAGAUACGGCCCAGACUCCUACGGGAGGCAGCAGUGGGGAAUAUUGCACAAUGGGCGGAAGCCUGAUGCAGCAACGCCGCGUGCGGGAUGACGGCCUUCGGUUUGUAAACCGCUUUCGCCUGUGACGAAGCGUGAGUGACGGUAAUGGGUGAAGAAGCACCGGCUAACUACGUG
rnacentral:rRNA from 1 species